rnacentral:rRNA from 1 species
GAUGAACGCUGGCGGCGUGCCUAAUACAUGCAAGUCGAGCGAACAGAUGAGGAGCUUGCUCCUCUUACGUUAGCGGCGGACGGGUGAGUAACACGUGGAUAACCUACCUAUAAGACUGGGAUAACUUCGGGAAACCGGAUCUAAUACCGGAUAAUAUAUUGAACCGCAUGGUUCAAUAGUGAAAGACGGUUUUGCUGUCACUUAUAGAUGGAUCCGCGCCGCAUUAGCUAGUUGGUAAGGUAACGGCUUACCAAGGCAACGAUGCGUAGCCGACCUGAGAGGGUGAUCGGCCACACUGGAACUGAGACACGGUCCAGACUCCUACGGGAGGCAGCAGUAGGGAAUCUUCCGCAAUGGGCGAAAGCCUGACGGAGCAACGCCGCGUGAGUGAUGAAGGUCUUCGGAUCGUAAAACUCUGUUAUUAGGGAAGAACAAAUGUGUAAGUAACUAUGCACGUCUUGACGGUACCUAAUCAGAAAGCCACGGCUAACUACGUG